rnacentral:rRNA from 1 species
UUAUCAUUUAGAGGAAGGAGAAGUCGUAACAAGGUUUCCGUAGGUGAACCUGCGGAAGGAUCAUUGUCGAUGCCUAACGAGCAGCGCGACCCGCGGACUAGUUUUUAACCACUUCGGGGUCGGUCGGGGUUGCCCGCGAGGCGCCCCUGUCGCCCCACGACGGGAGGCGACGGCCGCGCGUCGUUUCCUCCCGUYCGAACAACAAAACCCCGGCGCGAGACGCGCCAAGGAAAUCGAAACUGUUCUGCGCUCCCCGUGCGACCCGGAGACGGUGCUCGCGCGGGCGAUGCCGCGUCACGCGAAAUCYAAACGACUCUCGGCAACGGAUAUCUCGGCUCUUGCAUCGAUGAAGAACGUAGCGAAAUGCGAUACUUGGUGUGAAUUGCAGAAUCCCGUGAACCAUCGAGUCUUUGAACGCAAGUUGCGCCCGAAGCCAUUAGGCCGAGGGCACGCCUGCCUGGGUGUCACACAUCGUUGCCCUCAAUCCGGCGCCGAAGGCGUCGUGCUCGGGCGAACGUUGGCUUCCCGCGAGCGCCGUCUCGCGGUUGGUCGAAAUCCGAGUCCGCGGCGGAGAGCGCCGACGACACGCGGUGGUUGAGUUGCGAAGUAGCUCGAGGCCAGUCGCGCGCGUCUCUCCGUCCGGUUGGCGGACUCCCUGACCCUUGGGAGCAUCCUCGGAUCCCCCAUGACGAGACCUCAGGUCAGGCGGGGCUACCCGCUGAGUUUAAGCAUAUCAAUAAGCGGAGGAAAAGAAACUAACAAGGAUUCCC